rnacentral:rRNA from 1 species
CGCUAGCUACAGGCUUAACACAUGCAAGUCGAGGGGCAGCAUUUUAGUUUGCUUGCAAACUGAAGAUGGCGACCGGCGCACGGGUGAGUAACACGUAUCCAACCUGCCGAUAACUCCGGAAUAGCCUUUCGAAAGAAAGAUUAAUACCGGAUAGUAUACGAAUAUCGCAUGGUAUUUUUAUUAAAGAAUUUCGGUUAUCGAUGGGGAUGCGUUCCAUUAGUUUGUUGGCGGGGUAACGGCCCACCAAGACUACGAUGGAUAGGGGUUCUGAGAGGAAGGUCCCCCACAUUGGAACUGAGACACGGUCCAAACUCCUACGGGAGGCAGCAGUGAGGAAUAUUGGUCAAUGGGCGAGAGCCUGAACCAGCCAAGUAGCGUGAAGGAUGAAGGCUCUAUGGGUCGUAAACUUCUUUUAUAUGGGAAUAAAGUUUUCCACGUGUGGAAUUUUGUAUGUACCAUAUGAAUAAGGAUCGGCUAACUCCGUGCCAGCAGCCGCGGUAAUACGGAGGAUCCGAGCGUUAUCCGGAUUUAUUGGGUUUAAAGGGAGCGUAGGUGGAUUGUUAAGUCAGUUGUGAAAGUUUGCGGCUCAACCGUAAAAUUGCAGUUGAAACUGGCAGUCUUGAGUACAGUAGAGGUGGGCGGAAUUCGUGGUGUAGCGGUGAAAUGCUUAGAUAUCACGAAGAACUCCGAUUGCGAAGGCAGCUCACUAGACUGUCACUGACACUGAUGCUCGAAAGUGUGGGUAUCAAACAGGAUUAGAUACCCUGGUAGUCCACACAGUAAACGAUGAAUACUCGCUGUUUGCGAUAUACAGUAAGCGGCCAAGCGAAAGCAUUAAGUAUUCCACCUGGGGAGUACGCCGGCAACGGUGAAACUCAAAGGAAUUGACGGGGGCCCGCACAAGCGGAGGAACAUGUGGUUUAAUUCGAUGAUACGCGAGGAACCUUACCCGGGCUUAAAUUGCAACAGAAUAUAUUGGAAACAGUAUAGCCGUAAGGCUGUUGUGAAGGUGCUGCAUGGUUGUCGUCAGCUCGUGCCGUGAGGUGUCGGCUUAAGUGCCAUAACGAGCGCAACCCUUAUCUUUAGUUACUAACAGGUGAUGCUGAGGACUCUAGAGAGACUGCCGUCGUAAGAUGUGAGGAAGGUGGGGAUGACGUCAAAUCGGCACGGCCCUUACGUCCGGGGCUACACACGUGUUACAAUGGGGGGUACAGAAGGCGGCUACCUGGUGACAGGAUGCUAAUCCCAAAAACCUCACUCAGUUCGGAUCGAAGUCUGCAACCCGACUUCGUGAAGCUGGAUUCGCUAGUAAUCGCGCAUCAGCCAUGGCGCGGUGAAUACGUUCCCGGGCCUUGUACACACCGCCCGUCAAGCCAUGAAAGCCGGGGGUACCUGAAGUACGUAACCGCAAGGAGCGUCCUAGGGUAAAACUGGUAAUUGGGGC